CCGUCACACUUGCAAUUCAUAAUCUUCAACCUAGUCUCUGAACUCUUCACCACCCUCAAACCUCAGCCUCUUGCCCUCUCUAAACCACGCACGGUCGCACCAUCACAACCACUGACCGCCAUCGACUGCCACCUCUCGCUCAGUCCUUCAUCGCUACGGCGCUACCUCCCACCCCUCAGUCCGUCACCGCCACCUCUCACGCACUGUCGAGUGGAUGUCAGUCAGGUCACAAUACAUCACGCACACCACAGCAGGGAGUCCGUCAGUCAGAUCACGAUAUAUCACGCCGGUCGUCACCUCUUCUCUGUUCGUCGCACCUUUGCUUGUCUUCACCUCUUCGCGUCGGGUAACUGGAAUGUCUUCUUCAGAUGCAUUGAGUAAUACUCUUGAGAAGACUACUCCAUCGGAAGACCCUAUAGGCACUAAUAUUCAAACUACACAAGAGGCUCCUCAAUCUUAAUCUCAAAAACCCCCAACAGAUACCACAACUACUAAUGAAAGAACGACAAACUCUACAAGUGGUGUUCGAAAGAGGAAGUUAACCUCUGAAGUGUCGAAUCACUUUAAGAUUGUAGAAAUCAAGGGAAAAUUAAAGGUUGAAUGUAAUUAUUGCAAAGCGAAACUACUUGGUGACCCAAAAAAAGGCACUUCGCACUUAAGUUACAUGAUCACUUCAAAAGCUGCAAGCUCGGCACCACUAGAGAUAUAAGACAAUGUAUGAUGGAGACAACUCCAACAACUAGUGAGAAAACAGUUGUGGUUGGUGCAUAUACCUUCGACCAAGAAAAUGUAAGGAAAGAGUUAUCAGUUAUGGUUUGUCUUCAUGAGUAUCCGCUAUCUAUUGUGGACCACAUUGGGUUUUGAUGAUUCUGCAAUGCUUUGCAACCUCUCUUCAAGGUAAUUACUCGCAACACUUUAAAGAGUGACAUCUUGAAGUCUACAAUGAUGAGAGAUCGAAGACAAUGAAUGUCCUUGAGCGUAAUAAAAGUCGAGUUGCAAUUACAACUGAUAUAUGGACAGCAAGCAACCAAAACAAAGGUUAUAUGGCUAUCAUGGCUCAUUACAUUGAUGAUUCUUGGAAAUUGCAAAGCCGUCUUGUGAGGUAAUAAUAUUAUCAUUAUAGGUUCUUCUGAAUGUUUAUAUAUUUGCAAAGCUGUCUUGUUUACACAAUUGCAAAGCUAUCUUGUAUAUAAUUGUAAAGCUGUCUUGUUUAUAAUUGUACUAAAUUAUCAUUACAAGUUUAUAUAUGUGCCAGCUCCCCACACGGCUGAGGUACUUUCAGAGGUUCUUGUGGAUUGUUUGAUAGAUUGGAAUCUUGAUAGGAAGGUAUCCACUUUGACGGUUGAUAAUUGCAGUACUAAUGAUGUUAUGAUUGAGAAUAUUUUGACUAAAAUGUCACAUAGAAACUUUAUCUUGGGUGGUAAAUUAUUUCACA